AAGCAGCACAGUGUCGUUAUAAUGACGUCAAUUAUUGGACAUUAUUAGUCGGCGACGUCGUAGACCAAUAAGCGACGUCCAUAUGACGUGACAUUUCAGAUGUCAUUUUGACGUCGUCUAGAGACGUCUUUCGUACGUUUGUUUUCGGUCGUUUUAAGUGCUUUUUAAUCAACUAUAAAAAAAAUUAGAACGAAAGUUUAUUACAAAAACUAAGCCCUAUACGUGCUUUAUAAAAAAUUGUACAUUUUAAAUUGUUGUUUACCUAAAAUUUGGAUAUAAAUAUAAAUUCAUUAAUUAGCAAUGAAAAUACUAAACUGACGUUUUAAGUGGAAAUGCAAUUUGAAUUUAAAGAUGAAGAAACAAUUAUUUUUAGCAUCGAUUCCUGUCGAGGCUGUCGACCAAGAUUUAAUUUUGGCGCGAUUUUAAUCGAAAUGCCACGAUACGAUACGAGACGUGCAAGCGCAUGCGUGCUGGACUGCUGGUGUGAACGCGUGUGCGCGUAAUGGCGGACGGCAGCAAAAAGUUGUUUGGCGGUUUGUCGGCAUAUCUAUCGACUUUUGGAGGGAGAGAUUUUACUGGACAUACAAACCGCAUUUUAAAUUUUUUGUUCAUUUAUUCUCUUGCAACUAAUUGGAAUUUUUGUGGCAAACGAGGUGAGAAAAAGGCUUUUAAAAACUUAAACGUAAAGGAUGUGAUUAUUGGUAAGUGUUUUCACUUGUAGGUGCAUACUUAUUAUUAAUCUGAAACAACAUUUUUAGGUGCUGUAAGAAAAAGCUCCCCUCUAGUCAGUCAGAAAGAAAUAGAAGAUACCAUCAAGGUGUGGUUGAAACAUGCACCAGAGAAAUUGAAAAAGCAGCAGCAUGGCAACCCGUAAGAAAAAAAGUGUUGUUAGUCAAAGACAACUCUACAGAAGGAUGGCAGAAGCAAAUUUAGCACCUGUGAGUCAGAAUUGUUAUAAUACAUCUUUAAUAGUUAAUAAUGAUUCCAAUGAAUCAUCAAAUUCCGUUUUUUUUUGCUGGUUCAAUGUGUGAAAGUGAAAAUGACACCUGUUCCUCAAGAGAUUUAGAUUUUAAUGUAAACUCGCCUAAUGAAAAUUUGCUCUUCAAUGAUGCGACGUUAUACAACCAUUUGACUUCCUAUUCCAGUAACGUGCCCCCUAACGAUUUAUUUUCUAAUGAACCGCCGCCUAGCGAUUUGCAUUCGAAAUUGUCAAACUGGGCAGCUUCAAGGUACGUUCGACGUACAGUAGUUACUCAUCUCUUGCAUUAUCUCCACCAUUUAAAAUCGUUAGUUCAGUCUCCGAAUAAACCGUUACAACAGAUUAAUAGACGCUUAAAAGAAAUUGAAAUGACAGUGUACGAAAAACAUGACUCUACUUCACCUGAUGAUGAACACUUCUGUAAAUGUGAAUUGUCCCAUUUCUUAGGACCAACGCCAAAUUUCUCUUGCAAGCAGUAUAAAAAGCUUCAUUAUAAAGAUUUUAUUUUUUCUAUUGCAUCAUAUUCAGAAGCAAAUUGUUUUUGUCUUACCUUAGAAGGACUGGUUUUCAAAAUAGAAAAUGUAGUGGAUAAUAAUGGAGCAGUUUUUAUAUUAGGUAGGAGGUUUCAGGAUUACCGUUCAUUUUACAAAUACCCUGUCGACUCAAAAGAAUUUAUCCAAAAUUUAUCAGAGUAUAUCGAGUUAUUGCACUGCCACAAAGUUUUUUCGAAAUGUAUUGUUUUUCCUUUCAAGCAGGAAUGGUUGUCAUUUUCAUUAUUGCAUCAUUAGUAAUUCCUUAUUUCAACUUUUAUGUUCUAUAAGUGUAAUAGUAUGUAGUUUUUUAAGAUUUUGUAAUAAACUGGUAUUAAUUUGAA